rnacentral:lncRNA from 1 species
UCAUUUCAUACACAUAUGCCUCAACAGCAUUUUUCUUCUCUUUGGUCUCCUCCAUUACCCGAUCCUGUAAAGCCAUUUCAAACUCCUUUUCCACCGCUUUUUGGACAUCAGCAGCUGCCAAUCCACCAUAAAUCAUUUCCACUACCGGUAUGUUGGUUUUCUUUACCUUUUUCUUCUGUGCUUCAACCUGAAUGCCAAGAUAUCAGCUAGGUACAAUACAAGAACUACCUACCCACAGAAAACUACUGUGUACCCACCCAACACAACACACCAUGAACCUAAAUUGCUAGAGAAAUAAUAAGCUAAGUUACUCCAACUCAAGUUGCAACUCUAAGACCCUUCAGGGACUCCCAAAGAAAAUGUUAGGCCACCUACUACAAUAUAGUAGGAAGGGUAGUAAGGGAAAAGCACGUGUUUGUGGGAGUGUGGCUGCUGAGAGAACAUUGGGGGACCACAGUUUGUUGAGCAGCCUUUGCCUAUUUCUAUCAAAUAAAUUUUUGUUAGAACGGUGUUCUAUUUUCAACCUGGGACGGAUCAAUAGAACGGUUUAAUUAUCUUAUGAGACAUUGGAGGUGUUUGAACAGGAUGUUUCUGAAUUUAUAUUUUGCUUUUUUAAAAAAAAUUAACUUCCCUGAACUUUUAUUAUUCACACGAGUAUUAUUUAUCUAAAAUUCUAAUGUGUAAAAAGGAUGAAGUACAUUUUAAAUCUUUCAAUUAAGUAUUUCACACACUGAAAUAGAAUAAAAAGAGAAGAAAAUGAAGAAGUAUUCAACACACUGAAAUAGAAUGUUAAAAGAAAGUGGGGAAAAAAUCAGAACCAUGAUGAAGUAGAAUGAAAAGAGAAGGAAAAGGAGACCAGGAUAAUAAGAAAGCCAAUUAGGAAGUGUGACUUCGGAAAUCGAACUGAGAAAAGGCAGAGUUUAAUAUGCCAUAGACCUCCAACUUUACCACACAGACUAUAGCUUAUAAUUCCUAGAUUUAAUUAUUGAGAAAUAAAAAUUAUCCAUAUCGAUAGAGCCCACACAAGAUAAUAUGGAGAAUUCCCCGUACUCACCUUGGAAUCUGUCUCCAUUUGUACGGAAUGUUCUGACUCUGCACUACCAUUUUCAGCUCCAGCAUCUGUGGUUCCUUUGGCAUCUUGCAUGUUAACAUCGUUCUCAUUAGAACUGGGAGGGGCAGCAGUUUCAGCAGGAGCUUCAUCAGUCUCCAUUUUAGCUGGCUGUUCCCUGGUGACUGGAAUAUCCACGUCCUCCUCUUCUAACAGCUAAACCCACACAAAUUCCGCCAUCAGAGAAGAUUAAAGACACAAAAUAAGGAGGAAAGACCAAUAGAUGACUUACUGUCGCUGAUUCAACAGAGACAAUUCCGUGCAAAUUAAGUCGAACCUUCACUUUCACCUUUGAUCUUCCACCUUUAGAAGAUUGAAACGGACCGAUCUGGAUAUGCACAUUACCAACAACUUAAUUUCCAUUACAUAACAGAAAAUGCUCAAACUACUCAAAUAUUGAAGUUUAACCCUUACCGUAUAUGUACUGAUCUUUGCUUGCUGAUCAGAAUCAGUAUAGUGUACAUCAACACUAAAUGUGCCAGACCGAUAAAACGUGAGAGCCUUAACACUAGGUAUAGGGUUCCCCUUGGGAAAGACAACAGUGCUCUGCUGAUUGUCCACUGCCCCAUUUUGAGAAUCUGAAGCAGCACCUUUCCACGAGAGAGCUAUGUUAAAUGGGAAGUGCUCGUUUACCUUCAAAAGGGAAAACCAAAAAAUCAGGGAGGAAAUGCAAAAAAUCCUAUGUUCUUGAAAGUUUAGCUGAAUUGCAGAAAUGAUGAACUUCAAACUACCGCUACCAAUCAGAUACAUUGAACUAUGACACAUGUUCCAUCAAAAGUUAAUGAAAAGAUAAACAUUCCUAUAUGUGUGAAUAGUGCACAAGUGAACGCAAAAACAAUAAAUCUCUAUUCGUUAAGAACAUAUUAGUCAAAGGACAGUCUAAAGGAAAAUUUCAAUUGUAGUGAUUCAAUCGGUGCUCUUACCUGAAAUUCUCGCACUUUGAAUGUGGGACUGAGGAUUGCGCACUGAAGGGCACUACCUCUUGCAACACACUCACUUGCAUUCAUAGUACGCCUAGGCUCCUUUUUGAAGAAGUCUGUCAGUAUUUUGAUUAUAGCAGGGACACGAGACCCUGAACCAACGACUUCAACUACGUGGAUAUUCUCAAUGGUAAGACCAGCUUCUGCAAGAGCCUGCUCCAGAGGUCCUUUCACACGUUCUAAAAUAGGAAUGCUUAUUUGUUCAAAUUCAUCACGCUUAAUGAUUCCCUUCACAUCCUUCUCAUCCAUCAAACAUUCUAUGUUCAAAGGUGCCACAGGGUUUGCACUAAGGACUUUCUUAAGCUUCUCACAUGCAAUUCGGAGCCUAAGACAUGCCCUUGCAUUCUGGUAAACAUCUAUUUUGUAUUCGUCCUUGAAUUUUGCUGCAAAGUGAUGAAAUAGUACCUCAUCAAAAUCUCUGCCACCAAGAGACUGAUCAGAUGAAUGAGCCAACACUUUCAACUGCCCCUUCUUAAAGCCUGCUAUGCACACUUGCAUGCUUGCAUGUCCAAUAUCAACAAAUGCCACGUUCAACUGGUCAUUUUCAGGCAAAUCGGUUUUAUAAAUACCAUAAGCCAAUGCUGUCGCAGUAGUUUCAUGUAUCAAGCGAAGGGGAUGCAAUCCAGCAACUGUGGCUGCAUCCAAUACAGCCCUUCUCUGAAGGUCAGUAAAGUAAACUGGGAUUCCAAUGCAGCAAUCAACCACCGCUGCGUUGAGAUUAGUCUCGGCGAUGCCUUUCAGAUUCGAAAAUAGCAUCCCCAACAACUGAGUAGGUGUAAAUGUUUUCAACUCACCCAGGUAACGCACAUGAACUAAAGGAAAGCCAUCAGGCCCCUCGGAUACAGAAAAUGGCAAUGACUGAAGAUCCUUCUGCAAUCCAGGAUCGGAGAAUUUCCGCCCAAUCAAUCUCUUAACCUGAGAGACUGAAUUCUUGAUGUUCAUCAUGAUUGACGCCGCACCAGCUGUCCCAAUGAACCGCUGCUUGUCACCAAAGCUGACAAUAGCAGGAGUUUCUCGCUUGGAUUCAUCG